rnacentral:rRNA from 1 species
GAUGAACGCUAGCGGCAGGCCUAACACAUGCAAGUCGAGGGGCAGCAUAAAUAGUAGCAAUACUAUUGGUGGCGACCGGCGGACGGGUGCGUAACGCGUAUACAACCGUCCCUAAACAGGGGGAUAAUCCGGAGAAAUUCGGUCUAAUACCCCAUAACCUCAGAGCAGGCAUCUGUGUUGGUUAGUAUUUCCGGAGGUGUAGGAUGGGUAUGCGUAGCAUUAGCUAGUUGGCGAGGUAACGGCUCACCAAGGCGACGAUGUUUAGGGGGACUGAGAGGUUAACCCCCCACACUGGUACUGAGACACGGACCAGACUCCUACGGGAGGCAGCAGUGAGGAAUAUUGGUCAAUGGGCGGAAGACUGAACCAGCCAUGCCGCGUGCAGGAUGACGGCUCUAUGAGUUGUAAACUGCUUUUGUACGAGGGUAAAGUGGGCUACGUGUAGCCUUUUGAAAGUAUCGUACGAAUAAGGAUCGGCUAACUCCGUGCCAGCCGCCGCCGUAA